CAUGGUCAGCUACUGGAAAGAUUUAUUGGUUGGGGAUGGGCUCGCGGCCUAUCAGCUUGUUGGUGAGGUAAUGGCUCACCAAGGCGUCGACGGGUAGCCGGCCUGAGAGGGUGACCGGCCACACUGGGACUGAGACACGGCCCAGACUCCUACGGGAGGCAGCAGUGGGGAAUAUUGCACAAUGGGCGCAAGCCUGAUGCAGCAACGCCGCGUGAGGGAUGACGGCCUUCGGGUUGUAAACCUCUUUUAGCAGGGAAGAAGCGAAAGUGACGGUACCUGCAGAAAAAGCGCCGGCUAACUACGUGCCAGCAGCCGCGGUAAUACGUAGGGCGCAAGCGUUAUCCGGAAUUAUUGGGCGUAAAGAGCUCGUAGGCGGUUUGUCGCGUCUGCUGUGAAAUCCGGAGGCUCAACCUCCGGCCUGCAGUGGGUACGGGCAGACUAGAGUGCGGUAGGGGAGAUUGGAAUUCCUGGUGUAGCGGUGGAAUGCGCAGAUAUCAGGAGGAACACCGAUGGCGAAGGCAGAUCUCUGGGCCGUAACUGACGCUGAGGAGCGAAAGGGUGGGGAGCAAACAGGCUUAGAUACCCUGGUAGUCCACCCCGUAAACGUUGGGAACUAGUUGUGGGGUCCAUUCCACGGAUUCCGUGACGCAGCUAACGCAUUAAGUUCCCCGCCUGGGGAGUACGGCCGCAAGGCUAAAACUCAAAGGAAUUGACGGGGACCCGCACAAGCGGCGGAGCAUGCGGAUUAAUUCGAUGCAACGCGAAGACCUUACCAAGGCUUGACUUAUACGAGAACGGGCCAGAAAUGGUCAACUCUUUGGACACUCGUAAACAGGUGGUGCAUGGUUGUCGUCAGCUCGUGUCGUGAGAUGUUGGGUUAAGUCCCGCAACGAGCGCAACCCUCGUUCUAUGUUGCCAGCACGUAAUGGUGGGAACUCAUGGGAUACUGCCGGGGUCAACUCGGAGGAAGGUGGGGAUGACGUCAAAUCAUCAUGCCCCUUAUGUCUUGGGCUUCACGCAUGCUACAAUGGCCGGUACAAAGGGCUGCAAUACCGCGAGGUGGAGCGAAUCCCAAAAAGCCGGUCCCAGUUCGGAUUGAGGUCUGCAACUCGACCUCAUGAAGUCGGAGUCGCUAGUAAUCGCAGAUCAGCAACGCUGCGGUGAAUACGUUCCCGGGUCUUGUACACACCGCCCGUCAAGUCAUGAAAGUCGGUAACACCUGAAGCCGGUGGCCUAACCCUUGUGGAGGGAGCCGUCGAAGGUGGGAUCGGUAAUUAGGACUAAGUCGUAACAAGGUAGCCGUACCGGAAGGUGC
rnacentral:rRNA from 1 species